rnacentral:lncRNA from 1 species
CUUGUUUAUCUUUCCCUGCCACCAGUUGAGCUUUCUCACCCUUUUUCUUUGCUUCCUCCUCUUCCUUUUCCUUUGCAAUUUCAAGAUAUUGAAUCAAAUUCUUCAAGCAAGCCUCAACAUCUUCGGUGGUCGACUUUGGCAUCAAAUUCUCGGCAACAUCAGCUGGUGACAUAUUAGUCUCUCCCAACAACUUUUCAAUAAUUGGAAACAAAUCACCAUGAGACUCAACAUCCAAGUAGUUCUUAGCAAGAACCUUGAACGCUUGAUAGCUACAAUAGGACAUUUCUAUGUGUUUAUCCAUCCUUCCCCUCCUAAUUAGAGCAGGAUCAAGUUUGUCCACAAAAUUAGUUGUGAAAAUUAUGAUCCGUUCUCCUCCACAUGAUGACCAAAUUCCAUCAAUAGAAUUCAACAAACCCGAAAGAGUUACCUUGCUUUUCCUUUUCUCUUCUUCUUCAUCAUCAUCGUCGUCAUCAUCAUCUUCUUCUUCUUCUUCUUCACUUUUCUUAUCAGUUUUAUCUUUUUUCUCAUUCUUAUCAUUACGAUCUUUCUCCUUUUUCUUCUUCCUCUGACCGGUAAGCUCGAGAGAACAAUCAAUAUCUUCAAUAACGAUAACUGAUUUGCUCGACGUCUCAAUCAAAAGUCUUUUUAACUCAUUGUUAUCCUUGACAGUUGUUAAUUCAAGAUCAUACACGUCGUAGUUCAUGAAAUUUGCAAUAGCAGAUAUCAUGGUAGAUUUCCCAGUUCCUGGUGGACCAUAGAGUAGAUAACCCCGUUUCCAAGCCUUUCCAACUUUAGCAUAAUACUCUUUCCCUUUCUUGAAUUUAACAAGAUCGUUUAUGAUCUCUUCUUUCUUCUCCGGUUCCAUAGCAAGUGUUUCAAACCUUGCAGGGUGUGCAAAAUUUGUGUGACUCCACCCUGACAUCCACCAACAACCGCUAUUGUUGGUGUAAAGCUUUAGUCGCCUAUUCUUAAAUAUAAUAGCCUUUCCUUGUUCCAACACAUGUUGUAUGUAAGAGGAAGUAAUGAGAUCGCGAUGCCUUUUGUGGAAAGUUAGGGUUAAGUAUCUUACCACAUCGAAAUUAGGUCUUCCUGAAGAUGCUUUUCUUGUUGGAGCUUUGCUGUUUGAAGACCACCAAACUUUGACUCCAUUGAACUCAUCCUCAAUCUCUUCUUUGUCGUCCAUGCUAAGGACAAGCGGUGAUUGGCUAUCUUCCACAACUUCGGCUUUAAGUCUCUUGGCUCUUUGACUCGAGUUAGCACCAAGAUAUGUUUGGAUAAUUGUGUAAGUUUCGCUUUGUUUGAGACGCUCGCCCGAUGAUUCAUAAAAAGUUAUUUCGACGUAAGGGGACAUAAGGUCUGUAAAUUUGUUCAUGUGCUUUUCAACAAACUUAUGAAGAUCAGAUGGGCAGAAUUGCUCAUACAUGGCAUAAACAAAAACAUUAGGCUAGCCGCAAUUGAGCCUAAUUGUGACAAUAUUGACUCAGUCCAUAAUGAAAUCUGAGAUGAGAUCACUAGAGAAAACUAAUGAAGAAACAAGUUGAUAAAAUUCUUGCUAGUUAAGAUCCCCUUAUGGAAAAAACUAUUGCAAGAUUUGUUAACUCAUUGUGAUAGUAACACGACUAUUGUGAAAUCGAGAAUCGUUACUACAAUGGUAAGAGACGAUAAUUAAGGCACGAACAAAGAACAAUUAUAGCGCUAGCUACUCUUCAAUGGAGCGGUUAAAAUAGAUUUUGUACGUACUGAUGAUAAAUCAGCAAUUCCUUUGUCGAAAUGAUUAGCUAGAAAGAAUGUCUAAAACACAUCCAAUAGGAUGAAACUAAUGCCUAAAGAUAACACGAGUGAUGGUAAUUACCCAGCCUAUAUGACUGGAGAUCACAAAAAGAUAGGUUCAAUGGGUAAUAACAAGUCAUGUUGUGAUAGAACAUGCUAUGACAAAAUCUAGAAAAGUCUUAUUCCUGUAGCCAAAUGAGGAUGAGAUAAGAGAAACUCUAAAUGAUAUUAUUACCAUAUGUGGAUAGUAGUACAAAGCUACAAGAGUACUAAUGAACUCACCUAUACGAAUGUGGAAUAGAGGCCGGUUACUAUGGAAUUUUGAGGCAGAAUACCUAGAACGUUCGUCAAAUUGGGAUAAAUGUGCAGGGCCAUAAACACACGAGAAAUAAUAUUUGUACAACUAUCUUGUGACAACUAUUUCUCUCAUACUCAAAUGGUGUUCUUUUUCUCUCUCUUCCUUUCUCUCUCUCUCUCUCUCUCUCUCUCUCUCUCUCUCUAUUAUUUUUGACCAAUAAGAAAAGAGAGAAACAAAAUUGUCACCAAAGUUGUCAUUAAAUGGAUGUCCAAAUAUCAUUGCGUGCUGGUUCUGUGUCUAAGAUUGAGUUUAAUGCCACAAGCAACUCUAGUUAAUUGAAAUUUUACUCGUUAUGCAGAGGUUCAAGUUGUAGGCGACACCUUUGUUUAUUAGCAAUCUUAUAAAAACUUCUUUGACGUUAUUUCUGAAACUAUUUUAAAAUCCAAGUGGGGAUUGUUGGAACAUGUGUAAAAAUUGAGUUAAAAAACUAGACACAAAUUCUCACAUUUGGUAGAAUUAGUGUUGUGUGAAUUAAAAAAAAGUGGUAGUCCUACAUCGGAUGGUUCACACAUAAUAGUAUAUAGUAGGGGUGUAUCUCUAAAGGGGUACAUAAUUAUGUGAACAAAGUAAGCACUAGAAUUAAUUUAAUCAUUAUUAGAAAGUGUUUUCUUAGUCCUCAAGUUUUGCUAAAAUAUUUUAGAACGCAAUCUGAAAUAUUUUCGUAUUCAAUAUAAUAUAUUUUGGUAUUUAUAUGAAAUAUAUUUUUGUACUCAAUAGUAUAUUUUUGUACUCAAUUUGCAAUAUUUUUAUACUAGAUCUAAUAUGUGAAUUACUUGUUCCCAAAGUUGCACACAUACUAUUUGUGAAUUUUCUCUAUAAAUAGAGAGCUCACAUAGUUCAUUCCAUACACCGAAAAAUAUCUGAAACAUCGAAUCUUUUUCUUCGCUCUUCCACUUUGACUUGUGUUAACGAGUCUUUCUUCUCUUCAUCUAGUCCUUUUUCGGGGUAUAAUAUCCCUUGGAAUUAAGAACGGUUUUAUGAGCAUAGUCCCUCAAUAAUCUUUGUCCUUUCGGAAUAAAGAAUAUUUUUAAGAUCAUAAUCCCUUUUCUGGAAUAAUGUCCUUUUCAGAAUUAAGAAUGAUCUUAAAAUAAAAGUAUAUAUAAUCCAUUUUAUAUUUCCUUCCCUUGGAUAAAGUUAUAUGUUAGAAUGGUGAUAACACCAUAUUUGAGUGGUUGAAAUUUCAUAUUGAUAUUUGGAGAUGUUAAAAGUUAGAAUGGUGGUAACAUCAUAUUUGAGUGGUCACAAUACCAUAGUAGAGUGGUCAUAGUACCAUAAUUGAUUGGUUUCAGUACUAAAAUAUGAGUGGCCUUAGUAUCAUAUUGGAGGUGUAAUUUUCGAACGUUUUUUUUACAACAUAGUAGUUAAUCGUGCUGUUGUAGUUUAACUUGUUUUUAUAUAGUCUCCUUUGCAUUACUUUGGACAGUACCAUGGAAUGUCUUAAAGAGAGCGACAUGAUAGUGACUCAACCUAGUAACAACUUCAGUAGAUUUAUUUUUGGCAAAAUUACAAUUUUAGUCCCUUAACUUAAUUUCAGGUAACAGUUUGGUCCUUUAUCUGUUUUUUCAUUUCAAUUUAGUCCUUUUUGUCCAUUUUUAAUACAUUUUCAAGCUUCAAAUCUAAUAUUAUUAUCCAAACAUAAACGAGGAUCAUAGAUUUGAAGACUGAAAGACCAUAAGAAAAUUAAAUCAUGAAUUUUAAGCUUAAAAAUUCAUAUGAAAAUGGACAAAAAGGACCAAAUUGAAAUGAAAAAAUAUAUAGGACCAAACGGUUACCUGAAAUUAAGUUUAAGUGACUAAAAGUGUAACUUUGCUUUUAUUUUUUAAAAAUAGAAUUUAAAAAUUCAAAUAGAACGGUGUUCCGUUAAAUGUUAUUAAAUGUUAUUCUACAUCAUUAUAUAUGAUGUGUAAUAGUAAAAAAUAAGCUCUAAAUUGGGUUGUGUAAAAAAAAUAAGCCUUAAAAUAUUGUUUCAAUUAAAAUAUGAUGAAUACAAGUGUAUUUGAUAGGAUGCCCAAUCAGGUGCUAUAUCUAGAUGAAAUAAAAAGUACAUCAAAGUUUAGAUAACACUGAGCUCUAAAAGCAAUUAAAUGCAUGCAUGCAAGUAGAAUAGAAGCCAUCACCACAUUCUUCCUUAGCUAAGAAGCCCUCAUGAAAAUGCAUACAUCUUAUUUUAUUACAUACUAUAGAUCUCAAUGCUCCACCCAAUUAACACAAAGAAACAACACAAGAAUAGAACCAUCCAUCAAAUGCCAAUUUUUUUUUUUUUUUUGGCACUUUAAAAAAAACCCCAUAUGUCUUGUUUUGAUUUCACACGAAGAAGAGAUACUAUUAAUACAAAGACAACAUUCAAACAAUGAAGCAUUGAAUCCGACACAAACACCAAACACGACAUAAUCAUGUCGCUACCUAUAAUAUAAAAAAUAUAAGACAACGAGGCAUUCAUAUAUAUAUAAUUAAUUUUGUGUGUGGAACUUGGUAAGAGACGGAGGAGGUAUUAAUCAAGCAUGAACAACCAAAGCUAUUAACAACACAAUUCAGACAAAAUUCCCUCAACAUGCCCAAAGGCCAAACCUAAACAUUAUCUUUAAAUGUGUCAAUUCAAAAGCAGCACACAUGAACAUAGUUCAUAACUACAGUUUUAUUAAUUAAAAUGUUUCAAAACAUUACUAAGAAAACUGAAAUUAAUCCAACUAAAAAAAAACUGAAAUCAAUCCAAUCUAAAUUAAUGUAUGACAGCAUUCUCCCCAAUCAAAUUUUUAUUAAAAGGGUCUUAUUAACUAAUGUUCACGGGGAAUUCUUUAAGGAUUUCAAAUUUAGCAAUUAUUUUUUCAAAAAUAACUAUUACAAUUUACAAUGCAUUAAAUACACAAUUUUUCAUCAAAAAACUUACCAUUUAAAAUGUUUAAAGAGUGUCUCGGGGGCACUAGUUAACAUUUAAAAUGUUUGGAAAAUGUUAAGUAGUGCCCCCGGGGCACUGAUUAAGGAAUUAUAAAAGAAAAUGUUUUUUUUUUUUUUUUUUUUCCGAAAAUUAUGUAUUUUACUUUUUGAAACUUGAAAAAAUGUUGAUUUUAAUGUUGACUUUGCUUUUUCUUUCUAACUUUGGCUACUUAACUAAUACCCGGAGGCACCGGUUAACAUGACCCAAAAAAAUUCCUCAUAUUUUUCACUUGCCUCCUCCACCUAUUCAUCCUACAGUCUUGAGCCAAUUCUUGUUUAUCUUUCCCUGCCACCAGUUGAGCUUUCUCACCCUUUUUCUUUGCUUCCUCCUCUUCCUUUUCCUUUGCAAUUUCAAGAUAUUGAAUCAAAUUCUUCAAGCAAGCCUCAACAUCUUCGGUGGUCGACUUUGGCAUCAAAUUCUCGGCAACAUCAGCUGGUGACAUAUUAGUCUCUCCCAACAACUUUUCAAUAAUUGGAAACAAAUCACCAUGAGACUCAACAUCCAAGUAGUUCUUAGCAAGAACCUUGAAUGCUUGAUAUCUACAAUAGGACAUUUCUAUGUGUUUAUCCAUCCUUCCCCUCCUAAUUAGAGCAGGAUCAAGUUUGUCCACAAAAUUAGUUGUGAAAAUUAUGAUCCGUUCUCCUCCACAUGAUGACCAAAUUCCAUCAAUAGAAUUCAACAAACCCGAAAGAGUUACAUUGCUUUUCCUUUUCUCUUCUUCUUCUUCAUCAUCGUCGUCGUCAUCUUCAUCUUCUUCUUCACUUUUCUUAUCAGUUUUCUCUUUAUUCUCAUUUUUAUCAUUACGAUCUUUCUCCUUUUUCUUCUUCCUUUGACCGGUAAGCUCAAGAGAACAAUCAAUAUCUUCAAUAACGAUAACUGAUUUGCUCGACGUCUCAAUCAAAAGUGUUUUCAACUCAUUGUUAUCCUUGACAGUUGUUAAUUCAAGAUCAUAUACAUCGUAGUUCAUGAAAUUUGCAAUAGCAGAUAUCAUGGUAGAUUUCCCAGUUCCUGGUGGACCAUAGAGUAGAUAACCGCGUUUCCAAGCCUUUCCAACUUUAGCAUAAUACUCUUUCCCUUUCUUGAAUUUAACAAGAUCGUUUAUGAUCUCUUCUUUCUUCUCCGGUUCCAUAGCAAGUGUUUCAAACCUUGCAGGGUGCGCAAAAUUUGUGUGACUCCACCCCGACAUCCACCAACAACCGCUAUUGUUGGUGUAAAGCUUUAGUCGCCUAUUCUUAAAUAUAACAGCCUUUCCUUGGUCCAACACAUGUUGUAUGUAAGAGGAAGUAAUGAGAUCGCGAUGCCUUUUGUGGAAAGUUAGGGUUAAGUAUCUUACCACAUCGAAAUUAGGUCUUCCUGAAGAUGCUUUUCUUGUUGGAGCUUUGCUGUUUGAAGACCACCAAACUUUGACUCCAUUGAACUCAUCCUCAAUCUCUUCUUUGUCGUCCAUGCUAAGGACAAGCGGUGAUUGGCUAUCUUCCACAACUUCGGCUUUAAGUCUCUUGGCUCUUUGACUCGAGUUAGCACCAAGAUAUGUUUGGAUAAUUGUGUAAGUUUCGCUUUGUUUGAGACGCUCGUCCGAUGAUUCAUAAAAAGUUAUUUGGACGUUAAGGGGACAUAAGGUCUGUAAAUUUGUUCAUGUGCUUUUCAACAAACUUAUGAAGAUCAGAUGGGCAGAAUUGCUCAUACAUGGCAUAAAGAAACAUUAGGCUAGCGGCAAUUGAGCCUAAUUGUGACAAUAUUUCCCCAAUUCCCAUUGCCAUCUCUAAUACUUAGAAACUAUUGUGCCUAUUCUUAUGUUUUUUUUUGUGGGUGUUGGUUUAACCUAUAUGGUAUGAUUUUAUAAGGAGUAGUGAUUUAGGUUUUGUAUCUUGGCGACCAAGUUAUCUAGGAGACAUACGAUUUGUUGAUUUUGUGGGCGUGUUGAAAUUGGAAACUAGCAGCCAGAUUAAAAAGAAAAUAUAAAAACGAAAAAAAUAUAUUUUAUUUGUAUACUCAAUUAGGCAAAUAUAUCUAUUUAACUCCAC